rnacentral:lncRNA from 1 species
GACAGAACCAGAAGAGGCACAGAAGCUCCUGUGGUGACCAAGGAAAGGAUGUCGCAGAUCAGUGCAGUGGUGACUUCAUGCUAUUCGGACCUUGGGAGCCCAAAGCACAGCUAUCAGCAUCUGCGUCCCAGAGGUGCGACAAAAACUCCACGAGGACUGCAGAACUUUCCGAAAGCCCGUGGAUGGCACACAUAGAGCUAUCAGAAAGGUACGGAAGGAGAAAUCUGUCAAAUUCAAAAGUUCCUCGCAACAAGGCUGAGUCCCUCCCUCUUCUCCGAAGAUGCCAACCAUCUUGCAGAGAAAUCAAGUGGCACUAACUGUGUUUACUUCCUCCUGAACCAAGGUCUUCAGCUCUGUGUUCAAGGAGAAUUUCUAUCAUCUCCCUACUCCCAGCUCAACAGACAGGGCCACGUGCUAUGUAAUUUUCUAAGCACAUUACACAGAUAAUCUAAUUUACCUUAAUAAAACCCCUGUAAG